rnacentral:rRNA from 1 species
AUUGAACGCUGGCGGCAUGCCUUACACAUGCAAGUCGAACGAUAACGGGCCUUCGGGUGCCGACGAGUGGCGAACGGGUGAGUAAUACAUCGGAACGUGCCCGAUCGUGGGGGAUAACGAGGCGAAAGCUUUGCUAAUACCGCAUACGAUCUACGGAUGAAAGCAGGGGACCGCAAGGCCUUGCGCGGACGGAGCGGCCGAUGGCAGAUUAGGUAGUUGGUGGGAUAAAAGCUUACCAAGCCGACGAUCUGUAGCUGGUCUGAGAGGAUGAUCAGCCACACUGGGACUGAGACACGGCCCAGACUCCUACGGGAGGCAGCGGUGGGGAAUUUUGGACAAGGGGCGCAAGCCUGAUCCAGCCAUGCCGCGUGCAGGAUGAAGGCCUUCGGGUUUUAAACUGCUUUUGUACGGAACGAAAAGCCUUCUUUUAAUACAGGAGGGUCAUGACGGUACCGUAAGAAUAAGCACCGGCUAACUACGUG